GCCCAGUGAUGAGACCAAGGCGAAUACGAGCUUACUGAAUGAGAGUUGGGUUCUUCUUUGCCUUGACUGGCAGGUAAUCUUGGCAGUGCAGAGGAGUAUUCCUGCUCUGCUGUAAGGGCCUGCCUACAGUGACUUGGCUCAACCCAAAUUAUUCCUUUACAGUCACAACGGAGUAAUCACAGGGAUGAAACCGACAGUGUGUGUGUGUGUGUGUGUGUGUGUGUGUGUGUGUGUGGUUGUGUACAUGUGUAAGAGGCAAGGAGUUCACCCAGCUCUCUUCAGUGUUCAGUCAGCUGUGAGUUGCUUCUUUGGUAAUCUGAGGGCA
rnacentral:snoRNA from 1 species